GGGGAUGAUCGGUUUCGACAUUGCCUGAGUGAGUGUGAGAAGCGGGCCGAGGAUGCACAGUUAUCUCGCAAACGAUCUGUGCAAACAAUAAGUGCCAAUCAAAAAAGCACUGUUCCGGCCACCAAGGCCGCUUUCGCUCUCGCAGCCUAAGCUCCUUGUAGCCGCUUAAGGAACCGUCAGACCGGGAAUGCCCUCUACCCGGAGCCUGGCGUUAUCUAGAGGGAUUGCUUGUGCACUGAGCCUCAGGGUGCACAGGGACUUUUACUGAGACUGGGCUCGUCGAUCUAGCUGCCAGUGGCAAAGAUCGGAGCCGAGUAGAACGCCUGCACUGGCUACACCCGUAGAAGGCACACGACCACAGCAGUGGACGGGGGUUCAAUUCCCCCCAUCUCCACC
rnacentral:tmRNA from 1 species